rnacentral:rRNA from 1 species
UGGGGAAUAUUGGACAAUGGGCGAAAGCCUGAUCCAGCCAUGCCGCGUGUGUGAAGAAGGUCUUCGGAUUGUAAAGCACUUUAAGUUGGGAGGAAGGGCUGCAAGUUAAUACCUUGUAGUUUUGACGUUACCAACAGAAUAAGCACCGGCUAACUUCGUGCCAGCAGCCGCGGUAAUACGAAGGGUGCAAGCGUUAAUCGGAAUUACUGGGCGUAAAGCGCGCGUAGGUGGUUUGGUAAGAUGGAUGUGAAAUCCCCGGGCUCAACCUGGGAACUGCAUCCAUAACUGCCUGACUAGAGUACGGUUGAGAGUGGUGGAAUUUCCUGUGUAGCGGUGAAAUGCGUAGAUAUAGGAAGGAACACCAGUGGCGAAGGCGACCAUCUGGACUGAUACUGACACUGAGGUGCGAAAGCGUGG